rnacentral:misc_RNA from 1 species
GUGAAUCAUCGAAUUUUUGAACGCAUAUUGCACUCUCUGGUAUUCCGGAGAGUAUGCCUAUUUGAGGGUCAUUUGAAAUAAUAUAAAUUUGCAGAUUUGUAGGAAUUUAAAAUGGGUUAUCCAUUGUUUGUGGUCGCCUAAAAUCCAUGUAAAGCUUAUUUUCUUAGUUAUCGUGUUGCUUUCAGUUACGUCGUUAUUUUUCUAGGUCUUAUUG